GAGAGAAGAAGGGCAGAUUUUGUGUGGUCUAGAUGCACGUGUGUGUACCUACCUCCGGACACAACAGACGUGCCCUAUCAUCCGCGGAUAUUUCAGGCUUCCAGCAGUGGUACUUAUGGCCUCCCACGAGUGGGAUCCUGAUCCAGGGGCGGAUGUAUGCACAGGUGAAUCAAAGAAAAAAAAAAUUGGGGUAGUAAAUGAUAGCCCAUUUCCGUCAAUUAGCUCAGUUACACCUGCUGUCAAGCCAGGGUAGAAAUCUAUUGUCAAGCCAGGAUAAGGUUUUUUGUUCGAGAAGUUCUUAAAUUAAGUAAUGAUCAAAGGUCAGUGCGAUCACUCCCACCACAAUGCCAUUUUUCAAAGUGGCAAUCAUUUGUUGAAUGGUUGCCCCAACUGAACCUUUCGCCUAUCGCACUUCAGAUAAAUAAAAGAAUCAGAAUGGAAUUUGUAUUUGUAAGUCAUAGCUUCAAUGUGUGGGAAAGUCGGGCAAUACAAGGUUAUUGUCUUGAGGAGUACAGGCUUGUCAACUGUAAAACCCCACGGAGCUGUUGCAAAUAUAUGCUAGAAACACUAGUCCACCCUUAAAAAGUGCCAAAACGGGACAUGAUUUACGAUUUUGUUAUUAGGACUCUGGUUGUUCUUUUAAUAGGUAAUAUUUUUGUUUGCAUCGCUAAAUUUUUUUUUUACAAGUGCACAUAAAUUAUUUCCAAGAUCCCUAACCUUAAAUUCUGGUUCCGCCACUGUCCUGAUCUAGUGAGAGCUCACCUCUUGGUUCCCACUCCGGCUUGGUAUGCUCGGCGAAGUGGAUGUAAAAUCGAACUCACCAUUCUUUUUUCUUUUUUCCUAAAGCAUAAACUCACCAUUCUGAUCGCAACGAAUGGUUUUUCUUUUUUCUUUUUUGAUUCAAAAGAAAUUUCUUUAUUAAUACUUAUAGCGAGUUACAUUAUCCAGAUUAAUUCAUCCCAACGUAUAAGGUGAAAAAUGUUUUCUUAUUCCUUUUUCUUUUCACAUUGUACUCGUAUCUACA